CCUCGGGGUGAGAAAGGUGUAUGGUGAUCAAUAUACUACUACGUCAAAAUCCAGUGCCUCCAGUGUGAAUUCGACAACUUCAAUAGAUGUGGAUGUUAUGAAAGCUGCAAUUCGGGAGGAGCUCAGAGAGGAGAUGACACAGAAUUUCAACACUAUUUUGGCGCAAAUGGGCUUACCGACUUUUGGUGCUUUCAAGGAGGGCAGUGUUAUUACACCUACGCAACCUGAUCCAGUUCCGUAGUUCACGGAAGAGACACCAUGUGAGCUAUUAGCUCGAGGAGAUGGUCAUGCCAGUUUCAUUCUCGUUGCUUAUGGCCAAGCACAACCCCCUAGGGACCGGGUACGAUUGCACAACCAGGCAGUGGCUGAUAUUCACUAUGUGGUCAGCGUUUCAGAGAUUGUGCAUGGUUUCGAAGAAUUACCUCUUCGGCUGCCGAAUACAGAAGUUGGUCUACAUUCAGUGACUGAUACCCUUGGCAGUUAUGUUCUAUGGCCGCGUGCAUUGGUGCGGUUAUCAGAUGAGGUUUCGGAGAAGACCGACAGGAAGGGAAAGAAGGCAUGUUCACCUGAGGAAGGCCGACGUGAUGAAGGUGAACGAAAUGUGGAGAAAGAAAAGGAUCCUAUGGCAAAGUGUCCACUUAUUACGGAGAUAGAGAAGGUGCAAGGCCUUAGAUCUCCGUGCUAUGGUUACAUGA